UCUCCGUUGGUGACCAGCGGAGGGAUCAUUACCGAGUUUACAACUCCCAAACCCAAUGUGAACGUUACCAAACUGUUGCCUCGGCGGGAUCUCUGCCCCGGGUGCGUCGCAGCCCCGGACCAAGGCGCCCGCCGGAGGACCAACCAAAACUCUUUUUGUAUACCCCCUCGCGGGUUUUUUUAUAAUCUGAGCCUUCUCGGCGCCUCUCGUAGGCGUUUCGAAAAUGAAUCAAAACUUUCAACAACGGAUCUCUUGGUUCUGGCAUCGAUGAAGAACGCAGCGAAAUGCGAUAAGUAAUGUGAAUUGCAGAAUUCAGUGAAUCAUCGAAUCUUUGAACGCACAUUGCGCCCGCCAGUAUUCUGGCGGGCAUGCCUGUCCGAGCGUCAUUUCAACCCUCGAACCCCUCCGGGGGGUCGGCGUUGGGGAUCGGCCCUCCCUUAGCGGGUGGCCGUCUCCGAAAUACAGUGGCGGUCUCGCCGCAGCCUCUCCUGCGCAGUAGUUUGCACACUCGCAUCGGGAGCGCGGCGCGUCCACAGCCGUUAAACACCCAACUUCUGAAAUGUUGACCUCGGAUCAGGUAGGAAUACCCGCUGAACUUAAGCAUAUCA
rnacentral:rRNA from 1 species